UUAGGAUUUGGUUAGGAUUUGGUUUGGGGUUUAGGAUUUGGAUUAGGGUUUGAUUUAGGGUUUAGGGUUUAGGGUUUGGUUUAGGGUUUGGUUUAGGAUUUGGAUUAGGCUUUGAUUUAGGGUUUAGGAUUUAGGGUUUGGUUUAGGAUUUAGGGUUUGAUUUAGGAUUUAAGGUUUGGAUUAGGGUUUGGUUUAGGGUUUAGGAUUUGAUUAGGAUUUGAUUUAGGAUUUAGAGUUUUGAUUAGGAUUUGGUUUAGGAUUUAGAGUUUAGGGUUUGGAUUAGGAUUUGAUUAGGGAUUAAGGUUUGAUUAGGAUUUGGUUUAGGAUUUAGGGUUUGUCUAGGGUUUGAUUAAGGUUAGAUUAGGAUUAAGAUUUGGUUAGAAUUUAAGGUUCUAUUAGAUUUUUUUUAGGGUUUGACUAAGUUUUCUUUAACAUUCUUUUAUAUUUCUUUAGGAUUUCCUUGUAUUUCUUUUAUAACUUUAAUAAAAUUUAAUUGAGCUUGCUUAAUGUUUGAUUAUGAUUAUUAACGUUUAAUUGUAAAUUCUCUAUAAUCCU
rnacentral:lncRNA from 1 species